GACGAACGCUGGCGGCGUGCCUAAUACAUGCAAGUCGAGCGGACUUUCAUUGGUGCUUGCACCUUUGAAAGUUAGCGGCGGACGGGUGAGUAACACGUGGGUAACCUACCCUGUAGAUUGGGAUAACUCCGGGAAACCGGGGCUAAUACCGAAUAACACUUUUGAACUCAUGUUCGAAAGUUAAAAGAUGGUUUCGGCUAUCACUACAGGAUGGGCCCGCGGCGCAUUAGCUAGUUGGUGAGGUAACGGCUCACCAAGGCAACGAUGCGUAGCCGACCUGCGAAGGUGAUCGGCCACACUGGGACGGAGACACGGCCCAGACUCCUACGGGAGGCAGCAGUAGGGAAUCUUCCACAAUGGACGAAAGUCUGAUGGAGCAACGCCGCGUGAGUGAAGAAGGAUUUCGGUUCGUAAAACUCUGUUGCAAGGGAAGAACAAGUAGCGUAGUAACUGGCGCUACCUUGACGGUACCUUGUUAGAAAGCCACGGCUAACUACGUGCCAGCCGCCGCCGUAA
rnacentral:rRNA from 1 species